GUUCUGGUAGCUUAAUUUAAAGCUUGAUGUUGAAAAUAUCGUGAUGGUUAUUACCCUUGAAUA
rnacentral:tRNA from 1 species